UUUGAUAUUUAAGUUUUUUAUUUUUAAUAAAUUAGCAAAGAAUUCUAAACCUGUUUAUGCUUUGUCAUCAUGGGGUAUUGUGUGUAGAUUAAUGAGAGAAAAACACAAUUGAAUCAGUUUUAGAAUAAGAAAAAGUCAAGGGGUCAGAAUUAGAUUACUUACCAAGCAAAGUCAGCCUCUGAAUGUCAAAGAAACUAAACAAUGAUAUCCCCAUAUCCAUCGGAAUCACGUCUUUCCUGGGUAUUUUACAGCUUGUUUAUAGCAUAAAGCAUCGUGGACCAAAGCGCUGUAAUAGACCUUUAUAUAUUUGGGUCAAUUUUAUUUUCUUCAAAAUCUUAAGCUAACAAGGGAUAGGACUGUGCUUUUUUCUAUUUCCUUAAAAUGUAGGCAUGGUGGGUGGAGGAAUUAACUGACAAAUCUUUGGAUAUAGCAGCCUAUAGCCUAAUUUCAUCUGUCAAACAGGUAGGCCUACCUCUUAUUUCUUAAAUAGGAAGAAAUAGGCUCCAACACAAAGCCCUCUUGUUGUUAGUGAAAUGAAGACUGAAGACUUUCAGCACCAUGAGCUGUCCAUAUCCGACUGAUUGUGACGCGGCAUCUGCUUCAAGUUUUAGCACCCCAAUGUAAGCUAUUACUAUUUAUUUUUUGGACUAGGCCUAAUCAAAAAAAAAUGUAGGGAAGAAACCUUUGACUCUUCUCCUGACCUGCCAUCCUAGACCUACACAGCACAGCAUUGAUUAAGCAGCACACGAAACCAUUUUGCCCAGCAUGAGCAGAGCAGGGCACAGGGUUGAAAUAUCCAUUGCAGUGUGUAAUGCAGCCUAGUUUGAUUUACACCGUCCCAGUAGCUAUUUUAGAAGUAUAACUUUGCACUGUGCUACUCCGAGCAUACACUUCAUAGCCUAUAGGCUAUGGAUAAUUUGAUUGAGACCACACUAAAUAGCCUAUAGGCACAAUUGAUAUUGCGUGCACAGUGGAGAAUCAGAGAUGAGGGGUGGCAUCGGGCACACAGCGAUAUAUAGCCUAAUAAGAAACUAAUUGUAAAACACUAAGAAAUAUUUACAUAACAUAAAUUACAAGAUCCUCCCCUGGACUAGAUUAAAUUGAAUCUGAUUGAAAUUGAAAAAGCAUGACCCUCCCUCAUUUUCUUCCAGGUAACCAUUCUGUAAUUGUCAAUGGCAUGCUCCUUAAGAGUACAUCUUGGGCUAAGUAAGGCUGUAUAUUGCAAUUGAAGUAUGCCCCCAAUGCAAUUAUGAAGUCCAAUACAUCCACAGUGCGAUUUCAGAUGUUUUACUUUGUAUCAAAUAUUUUGUUUAAUUUAUAUAACGUUCCAACUUUGUUUAGCAUUAUCUAGUCCAAUUGUGGCAUCUUCCAUUUGUAUCCGUUUUCGCAGUUUUAAUGGAGAACUUUUAUUUUGAAAUCAGCCCGCAGAGUCCACUAUUGCUGCUCACAACACACGCGUCUUUGUCCCAGUAGCCCAGUAUAACAUCUUACCCGCUCGGAACACAGGGGUGUGUUCGGAAAAACAAAGAAAUUAACCCAUAUUAUUCUCGUUCUAAUAGACUAUAGUUUCGGCUAUGUAUGAAUGUCACAGUUACUAAACUGAUAAAAACCAAAGAUGUUUGUAAUAAUAAAGAAAUGGGGUGGUAGUCUACACGGCCUUACCUUGCAUAGUUGACAGACAAAGAUUCGCGCGAUGUGAUGUUUUCAUUUGUAGCCAUCCAUUCCAAAUAGUUCCUUUGUAGUUGAUCGCCCUUGAUCAAAUCAAUUAUGUAUGUAAGCUAUGUCUUGGAAAUUCACUAUUGUCACCUAUUUUCAAACCAGGAACUUUCUCUGACGGAAGGGCUAAAGAAAAAGUAACAACAUAUAAGAAUAUUUAUGCUUGAUCCGAAAAUGUGAACGGAAGCUUCGUAUGGAGGGUGUGGCGCAUUUGCGGGGCCUGGAUUCAUGCAGAGGGAAAAUCAAGCGCUGUACCGCAUGGCCAUGUGCCAGACAUGUACACUAGCAAGCGGUAAAUUGCCGUCUUCCGCUUAGGCAGCCCAUUGUGACUCGCUUGUGGGCGUGCUGGCAGCAAGUUCCGAGGGUGCGUCAAGAAUUCAGCAUAGCAAGUUUGUAAGAAGGUCUGGUUAUUAAAUGUGUAAAUAGUUCAAUAGUAAUAGGCUCUGGUGACAAACUUUGCUGCCUUGUUUCCAAUUGUCCACAUGGCUGGGAGAACCUAUUCAAAUACCUUGUAACUGUAGAUUCUUUCAAACCGAUUGCCUACAGUUACCGUGUAGGGCACUGCAAGGUUGAGUGACCAGGGCCAUCCUCCUGGAGGAAUUCAGGUGUGUGUGGAGGCUACCUGUGUCCUGCAUAACUUCAUGAGGAUGGACACGAGGACCAGGAUGGGAUCUGCAGCUCACCGCCGUGUCCCAGAGGAGAAGUCUGGCGCUCUGCAGGAUGGUUCAAGGAUAGACUACACUAUGCACAACCAAAGGCUCUUUAUAGAGCCAUCCACAUUGCAAUAAGAGUAUUCUUCCAUUUACUUAGCUAUGUCAACUGCUGUUAUUCAAUUCCUAGUUUCUCUCCCUUUGAUUUCUACUUCUCAGCUGAGGGUGCUGCUUAGGUAAGGGUGUGACGUCUGUACAAAAACAAAACAGGCUAUUAUAAGUCACCCAUAUUGAACAAAAUUAGAACAAUUAGACACCCACAUCUACACACUCAUGUAUCAAUCUGAUUGAUGGGUUGUGUUGUGCAGUAAGCAGGCUCUGGUGUAUAACUGGCUGCUUCAAAGAAUAGGCAAGAGUGCCAACCAUGGAGAAUAGUAAGACACUUCAUUAUUUCUAUAACUACACUAAAUUAUUGAUCCUUGUGUGUCCGUUCAUGGUUUUCAGCAUAAAGUACUCUGCAGCCACUUUUAGUGUGGACACCAGGUGAGGGCCACACACACAGAUUCCUGUUGAACACUGUCUCUUUAACUACCUUAUUUUCUCAAUAAGUCUUCUUCACUUCAUCCCUCUCCCCUUCUCUGUAAAGCCUCUAGGUUAUAUCAGCUGUGUCUGUGAAUCCCUCCCGCAUCUGAACUGGCUACAUAGAGGGCACAGCAUGAUCAGAGGUCACUUGGUCAGGGCAACAGGAAGUAUUAUUAAAGAGAUGCUUUACAUUGAAAUGGAGAUGUAGUAGUCCCAGAGUUAAUGAUCCAAGGUCAGUUUUGCAUUUCAUCUCCUGAUGAUUAUGACUGAGUGUUAGAAUAAAAAACAAACAAGGCUUAAGCAUGCUCUCUCUCCAUCUCUUGUCUGCAGAUAUGUUUUGCUGUGAAAGAGGAUGCCAACCCACAGUCCCGUCAUCGCCACCUCACCCGCUCUUAAGAUGACCAUUCGUGCCGACUGGGAGUCCAAGGCUGGUUAGGAGACACCACUAGAGACACUUAAUGUAAUUGUGAUGAACUGAGAUAAUAUUAAGGUAGCACUGGGAUUCAUUAAUCAUAUGCUGCCUUCCCUGCUCCUAUGGUCCUUACCUCUUUCCCUUUCUUUUACACCUCUCUCCCCACCUUUCUUCCUCUGUUUUUAUAAUGCACAACAGAUGUGCAUUGAAGUACAGAUUGAACUUGUAUUUCUAAUAAUACAAUUAUAAUAUUUAUAAUGCAUGUAUUUAUAACACUUGGAUAAUUAACUUCUUUCAAUAAAGCAUUUCACAUUCUCUA